ACGAACGCUGGCGGCGUGCUUAACACAUGCAAGUCGAACGGUAAGGCCCUUCGGGGUACACGAGUGGCGAACGGGUGAGUAACACGUGGGUGAUCUGCCCUGCACUUCGGGAUAAGCCUGGGAAACUGGGUCUAAUACCGGAUAGGACCAUGGACUUCACGGUUUGUGGUGGAAAGCUUUUGCGGUGUGGGAUGGGCCCGCGGCCUAUCAGCUUGUUGGUGGGGUAAUGGCCUACCAAGGCGACGACGGGUAGCCGGCCUGAGAGGGUGUCCGGCCACACUGGGACUGAGAUACGGCCCAGACUCCUACGGGAGGCAGCAGUGGGGAAUAUUGCACAAUGGGCGCAAGCCUGAUGCAGCGACGCCGCGUGAGGGAUGACGGCCUUCGGGUUGUAAACCUCUUUCAAUAGGGACGAAGCGCAAGUGACGGUACCUAUAGAAGAAGCACCGGCCAACUACGUG
rnacentral:rRNA from 1 species